GGAUUGCCUCAGUAACGGCGAGUGAAGCGGCAAGAGCUCAAAUUUGAAAGCUGGCCCCUUCGGGGUCCGCGUUGUAAUUUGCAGAGGAUGCUUCGGGUGCAGCCCCCGUCUAAGUGCCCUGGAACGGGCCGUCAUAGAGGGUGAGAAUCCCGUCUGGGACGGGGUGUCUGCGUCCGUGUGAAGCUCCUUCGACGAGUCGAGUUGUUUGGGAAUGCAGCUCUAAAUGGGUGGUAAAUUUCAUCUAAAGCUAAAUACUGGCCGGAGACCGAUAGCGCACAAGUAGAGUGAUCGAAAGAUGAAAAGCACUUUGAAAAGAGAGUUAAACAGCACGUGAAAUUGUUGAAAGGGAAGCGUUUGCGACCAGACUCGCCCGCGGGGUUCAGCCGGCAUUCGUGCCGGUGUACUUCCCCGUGGGCGGGCCAGCGUCGGUUUGGGCGGCCGGUCAAAGGCCCUCGGAAUGUAUCACCUCUCGGGGUGUCUUAUAGCCGAGGGUGCAAUGCGGCCUGCCUGGACCGAGGAACGCGCUUCGGCUCGGACGCUGGCGUAAUGGUCGUAAAUGACCCGUCUUGAAACACGGACCAAGGAGUCUAACAUCUACGCGAGUGUUCGGGUGUCAAACCCGUACGCGCAGUGAAAGCGAACGGAGGUGGGAGCCCCCUCGCGGGGCGCACCAUCGACCGAUCCUGAUGUCUUCGGAUGGAUUUGAGUACGAGCGUAGCUGUGGGGACCCGAAAGAUGGUGAACUAUGCCUGAAUAGGGCGAAGCCAGAGGAAACUCUGGUGGAGGCUCGCAGCGGUUCUGACGUGCAAAUCGAUCGUCAAAUUUGGGUAUAGGGGGCGAAAGACUAAUCGAAC
rnacentral:rRNA from 1 species